rnacentral:rRNA from 1 species
AUACGGAGGGUGCAAGCGUUAAUCGGAAUCACUGGGCGUAAAGCGCGCGUAGGCCGCCUUUAUAGGCGAUGAAAGCCCUCGGCUCAACCGAGGAACUGCGUUCGAAACUGGGAGGCUUGAGUCCUGGAGAGGGUGGCGGAAUUCCGGGUGUAGGAGUGAAAUCCGUAGAUAUCCGGAGGAACACCGGUGGCGAAGGCGGCCACCUGGACAGGUACUGACGCUGAGGCGCGAAAGCGUGGGGAGC